rnacentral:lncRNA from 1 species
CAGAAAAGGAGACCCAAGCAGCAGCACCCAGGGCAGAGCCUCCGUUCCUACUUCAUGGAUGUGAAAUACCCAGGAUGCUACAAAAUCACCAUGGUCUUCAGUCACAAACGUGUGUUGGCCGCGCCACCAUCCUCUCUCUGCCAGCGCACAGGAGGAAAAGCAAGACCCACAGAAGGACGUUCCUGUAGGAGGAAGCAGCAC